rnacentral:sRNA from 1 species
AGCAGCCGCGGUAAUUCCAGCUCCAAUAGCGUAUAUUAAAGUUGUUGCAGUUAAAAAGCUCGUAGUUGAAUUUCGGGAUUAAUUUACUGGUCGUGCCACAGGUAUGCACUGGUCUCACUGAUCCCUCCUUCCUGAUGAACCGGAAUGCCAUUAAUUUGGUGUUGCGGGGAGACUGGACUGUUACUUUGAAAAAUUAGAGUGUUUAAAGCAGGCUAACGCUUGAAUACAUUAGCAUGGAAUAACGGAAUAGGACGUUCGAUCUUAUUUUGUUGGUUUCUAAGAUUGACGUAAUGAUUAAUAGGGAUAGUUGGGGGCAUUAGUAUUCAAUUGUCAGAGGUGAAAUUCUUGGAUUUAUUGAAGACUAACUACUG